rnacentral:misc_RNA from 1 species
GUUACGAAAAUUCUUGUUUUUGACAAAAAUUUAAUGAAUAGAUAAAAUUGUUUGUGUUUGUUACCUCUGGGCCCCGAUUGGUCGAAUGCCCMAAGAAAAAGUUGCCAAGAUAUGAAAACCCCACAGCGGGGUGGAUUKGGAACUGUUUUAAUUGGCCGAAAACAAAAGCACAAAAAUCYYUCACCGUUUKGAAUARCMARAAAGAAACUUACMAGCCUAGCMAGACCGCGCACUUAAGCGCAGGCCCGGCUGG